rnacentral:rRNA from 1 species
GCCCGGAUUUUUUUCUUGGGCCGAGGAAGUGAACAUUUGUUCGUUUUAGUUCGUUAAGUAGGUCGAAGGGGAUCAUCAUGGUGAGACAGAGGAGUGAUCAUGCACUCACACACACACAAAUGAUCACGAGCAUGAUCACAAGAAGCCGGUCGAUAGGACGAAGAAAGAAAUCAGACCAUGAUCGAUCAGGCCAUGGUCGCCGCCGCUGGAGGCCCUCGACGAGAAGUGCAAGACCCACUCAAAACUGAGGACGACGGUAGUUUGAGCCAUGAGACUUCCGGAGCCAAAACACGGACAGACUACACUCCUUCGAUAAUCGAUACACAUCAUAUACGACACAAGAAGUACAUAUUCAUUAUUGUAAGAGAACGAUAUUAAAUUAAAGCGUACCAACGAACAUCGAUGAAUGACUACAUUUUCUCGUCUCCAAUUCUUACAGCCUCCCCAUUAAUUCCUCAUAUAAAGAGAAACGAACGAAACCGUAGAGGGGAAUUCGAACACCCAUCGACUGCUUUCCUCUAUACGAUUGGGUACGGAAAGGGGAAACGAGAAUGUAAAACGUGUUCUUUGCAUAUUAUGUCCGUGCACCUUACGAAGAAAUGAGGAGACGAGGAAACCGUAACACAUGUUCUUUCCUUGUAUAUAUAUAUAUAUCUCUCUCUCUCUCACUCUACUACCCGAUAUCGAUCGAGAGAUAUAGUCUCGAAUUCCAUAUGGUGUUACUCUAUCUGUUUAGAACGCCGUAUAGCGGCAGAGUUUCUCGGUUAAGUAAGGCUCCAUACGUUUUUAUAAAAACUAGUCAAGAGAUAGAUACAAGUUACUGACACAAGGAUCAAACAUUGAUUUUAUAGAACCUGAUCAUAUAGAUGAAUACACGUUAUAUCGACAUGAGAACGUAGCUAGUAAGAAGAGCGAAACAAGAAGAUCAAAACCCUUAUCUCAUGCUUGUCAUCGUACAUCAUGAUUAAGGGCGUCUACUUGUUUUAAACUCUGAAAAAGUAAUUAAUGUGGGGUGAAUACACUUAUCUAUGCUACUAUGUUAUUAUAUAAUAUAUGGGAUCAUAAUAUUAAUUAGACUAAUCUAUUUUUACAACGACGUCUUAAAAUCGGUGUACGUACAUUUAAUUCGUUCAGAAUCCGAGUACACUUAACUAUACAGAGAUAUAAAAAAUUACACCCGACGUACGUACACAUGUGAAAUUUUCAUCGUUUUCUCCUUUGACAUUGUGUAUAGUACCGUCCAAUAACAAAUAAACGUUUCCAAUUGAAUAAUAAUGAUGAUGAUGAUGAUCGUGUAUGAGGAUGUGUUUUCGGUGUGACUAUAUACAUAAAAUAAUGUUAUGAUCCAUCCCCUUAGUUACUGUGUCCUUUUGGUGAACCGUUACUUUUCGAGCCCCGUGGACAAGUUACUCACCCUCUAGGCCGAUAACCACGAAGAAUCGAAGUGUUACGUCGAAAAAGAAAAGAAACAACCACCGGAGGCCGCCGCAUAGUGAUUGUCGCGGGAGUCUAAAAGUUAGACCGAUCGAAUACACCCUCGUCUGUACCAUCGACAAAUACAGGAUCCGGAGUAGAGAGCGCACGUGGACCUACGGUGGUGCCUUUUAGUAGUAGUGGACCGAAAAGAAACCCGUGGGAAGGAGGAGUAUGUAGAGCCGCCUGUUCUAUGGCAGUGACGAAAGCGGUAACUCCUGUAGUCGGAGACCGACUCCGUGAACAACUUGGAACAACAGGUUCAGAGGGAGUGGGACAUGUAGAAAACCUUUAGCUGGUUACCAGACUUAUAUGUCCUCGAAGAAGAAGAAGGUUGGUAGGAGGACAAACAAAGCCCUUACUAGUUCAUACCCCUCUCCUGUACCCGAAACACAACACCGUCGGAGUAUUUGUAGCGUCUCAAGGGAUAGGGUGUUAUAGACUGUCUAAAUCUGUUCUAGGUACACCCAAGAUGAUGAAGAAGGAUAAGACCGGAACAAAGGUUCCGAAACAAAAGGUAUUUUCUCCAGGCAACCUAAAAAAGAUCAAUGUCAGGAAACCCUUGUCUAGAGUCGUACUUAAGUCUAGAUGAUGAAGGUCUGAUACGUCCGUUCAAUAAACUCUGGUACCUCUAACUUGAGCCCGACUACAAGCUGCUGUAGAUAUGGUUCCGCGUCCACGAAGCUUGUACCCCACCGUAGUAUGAAGCCACAGAGAGUCUAUAAAGGAAGAAUCGACGAAAACACGAGAAGAGACAUUCUUUGUUCCUCUCUAUGUUAUGGCAACUGUGACGUUAGUGGAUACAUGACAAAUAGCCGCCAAAGAGAGACCUCCAAAAACGCCAUAAAUGGCGGUACCACAGUGGUACCUAAACCCGUACCGAUUUCUGCGCCGUGACGUCGAAGGAAAGGAGGUAGUCGUAAUCGACCGUCUCCUUCUCCCACGACACCAGUUUUAGGUACCCAGUCAUGUCGGACAACUUGAUGGACCCUGUCACGCUGGUCGUCAGUUCAUUUCACUACCGCCACCAGUCUUCUAACCACUUACGUCAAACGCCCGCUUUCGUCUUCGAGACCCAGUCAUUCGACAACCUGUGGUUCAAGCACCUCCAGCUGCUCUUCCAGUACUCUACGUAACACCUCUCCUAGUUCGUCAUAGUCAGAUGUCUACUUAGCUCGUACGAGGGUGUUACCGGUUUAGAACGAGGUGACGAAGUUUCCAGUGACGCCCAAGGGCUCCGCCUAAAAGUAAAGGGCCAAGAGCAGGAGGUAUAUAUGUGCCUCCAUUACGACUCGUCCAUACGAGGGUGGCGAUGAGGCCUACCACCAAACCUGGCGCACACGGCCUGCUAUAGGUUGAUGUACCAAAUGGAAACACGGUGCGUGGUACUUUACGACAGCCAGGUUUUGUCAAGGUUGGUUUCACUGGAUCGUAUGUAGGAAGUGUCUAACAAAUCGCACCCCUGAUUACGACUGUAGUCAUUGUAGUACGGAUUCCGCCAACCCAAGAACUAGCUAACGGCAAAAGGCCACGGGGGCUUCCACACAUGUCUUCGUGUAGACAACCUUUAGGCUCUACGUACCCAUCCCAAGGAGGAGGUACGGCGGUCGUUCAGUGCCGGCCUCUACGUACGCCGCGUCGACCGGUCUCCUCCCCUCAAGGAGUGGAAGCAAACCGACGAGUACCGGGUGACGUUAGAGCCCUUGAGAUCCCCGACGGGUUAGCCCAACGAUGGAUAUUCACCACUACAAGUCACCGCGACACAGAAGGUAUAAGCGGGAGGUGGUGUUAGGAGUAUCCACGACGUGUCCAGAAACAUGCCCAAAGCUGGUGCCGUGCGGAAACGCAAGAGUAGCUAGCCGUAUUCAGCCCUAAGUAGGGGUAACGCGAACACGCGACGAGUUUAUUACACGAAGGUAGGCAUCAAGAAGAAAAGGAUAGGAACAGAGAAAAUUGAACGUUACAUUAAGUCUCGUAGUGACAAAUAAAUAAGAUAAACAAGUACAUCUGUGUGUUGUUGGUGUAAUAGAAAGUAUCGGCAAUUAGGUAGACUACCAUAGGACGACAGGUGGACACCUUGGUACCGACACAGUACACGUCACGUCACCAUUUGAGUCCGUUCACCGAACUUAUAGUACACGGCGUAGGAUCUUAUGUACUCGAGACAAUAAUUAUUGUCCCAAAUCGGAUUCUUACACGUUGUAUAUAUGUAAAGGAGAACGAUAAACGUGUUCUUAACGGUGACGAGUGAUCUCUACGUAAGUAAAUCGCCUUAAACUUCUUGUAUGACAUUGUUCAAUAAUUCUUCUACGUCUUCACUUUGUUGACUCUUACUCGAUAACAUGCCGACGCGGGCAGCCAUGUGUGGUUAAAAAUCUACGUCGCAAACUAGAAACCAGCAACCUUUUAGUUUACGGGCUCCUUUAUUACAUACCGUAGUAAUUCCGUACUAGAAAACAACGCCCAUUUAAUUCCUUCCAAAUUUGUACUUCAUAUAGCUAACUCAGAAGUGACAUGUAACCCGGCAUUCCUGUUGUGACAUGUCGGUUUACGCUUUUCUCGUUUUACCAGCGGGGGUGUACAAGACUCACAAAGAAAAAAGAAAAACUCCCACCAUUACAAGACUUAAACAGAUGAGGACUUCAUUUAAAACUUUAAGUACCUUGUAC